GAUGAACGCUAGCGGCAGGCUUAACACAUGCAAGUCGAGGGGUAGAAGGAGCUUGCUCCUUUGAGACCGGCGCACGGGUGCGUAACGCGUAUGCAAUCUACCUUUUGCAGAGGGAUAGCCCAGAGAAAUUUGGAUUAAUACCUCAUAGUAUGUGAGGAUGGCAUCAUUUUCACAUUAAAGUCACAACGGCAAAAGAUGAGCAUGCGUCCCAUUAGCUAGUUGGUAAGGUAACGGCUUACCAAGGCUACGAUGGGUAGGGGUCCUGAGAGGGAGAUCCCCCACACUGGUACUGAGACACGGACCAGACUCCUACGGGAGGCAGCAGUGAGGAAUAUUGGACAAUGGGCGCAAGCCUGAUCCAGCCAUGCCGCGUGCAGGAUGACGGUCCUAUGGAUUGUAAACUGCUUUUGUACAGGAAGAAACACUACUUCGUGAAGUAGCUUGACGGUACUGUAAGAAUAAGG
rnacentral:rRNA from 1 species